GAAAGCUCUACCCAAACUCACU
rnacentral:miRNA from 1 species